UACAUAGGGUGCAAGCGUUGUCCGGAAUUAUUGGGCGUAAAGAGCUCGUAGGUGGUUCGUCACGUCGGAUGUGAAAAUCUGGGGCUCAACCCCAGACCUGCAUUCGAUACGGGCGAUCUAGAGUGUGGUAGGGGAGACUGGAAUUCCUGGUGUAGCGGUGGAAUGCGCAGAUAUCAGGAGGAACACCAAUGGCGAAGGCAGGUCUCUGGGCCAUUACUGACACUGAGGAGCGAAAGCGUGGGGAGCGAACAGGAUUAGAUACCCUGGUAGUCCACGCCGUAAACGGUGGGCACUAGUUGUGGGAACCUUCCACGGUUUCUGCGACGCAGCUAACGCAUUAAGUGCCCCGCCUGGGGAGUACGAUCGCAAGAUUA
rnacentral:rRNA from 1 species